GUUCACUGAGCAUCUAACACAAUCCUCAUGCCCUCCACUGGAAAAAGCUAAAGCACUUUAGCAUCUGUGCUCAGUUCAGUUUGCAACUCUGGUCUCCAGAUGCUUGCGGAAAGGAUUAAACAUUUGUCUCCUCCUUUUUUCACUAGGGCCUAACAUUUGCAAAGCAGUCUGCAAUCCUCCCAUCUUGCUUUCUUAAAACCAGACUAAAAAAACCAUUACAAUUACACUGGAAAAAGCUGCAGGAGAUCUUUAAUAUGUCUAUCAUAUCGCGCAUCUCAAAGGGAUGAGGUUCAGAACAAAGGCUUCCUGUACUCAGAAUUUUAAUACUAAAGUUUACUGUUGGUAAGAAGGCUCCGAACAGUGCCUAUAUAAAAUACAUAAGAAUCCCCUCUACCUUCUUUAGCUUUCAGUACUGCAUCCUGCAAUGCUGUUUGGUUCAUUUUUCAGCAUUAAAUCUCAUCUACAUCCAAGUGUUUUAUGAAGGGUUGCCAAAGGCAUAAACACCAAUUUAAACUUGUGAAUGUAAUUUUAACUAAUUUUUUGUUGCAAGGCUUCCCCAACACUACCUACCACAUUCAAUUCAGAUGACUGCCCACUGAAAUAAAAGGUUUUUUAUAAAAGCUCCUGUACUUGAGUUUGAGGUGUUAAAUUUAAAUUCAGGACAAAACCGUCCAGCAUGAGCAACACAACAAAGUUUUAAAGACUCCCCUGGUAAAGCCAACUUCACAAAAAAGUAAUACACACAAAAUGCACUGCUGACUGCAAUCAUAUCUACAUUCUCACUGCUCCUUUCAUUUCUCACACUAAUUUCUUUUUUUCUGGCAGAUUACUUCAUCAAAUCAGUCACAGGAGAAAACGCAUGCCUGUCACUCAGCUUUUUCAAUGUAAGCUACAACAUCAUAGCCUAAACUAUCAACAAAAGUCAGCUUAUAAUGAAAUACCAGACCUAUUGCUGAAGUGCAGACCACACACACCCAUCUGCCAGCUCUGAUGUACAGGGGAGGGACCUAUGCAAAAAACACGGGGCAGACAGCUAAAAGUGGCAAAACCUUAAUAUUUGCAACAAAGGUUUACUGCAGAUUGUGUA